AGAUCUUGUGGCAACCGUAUGAGAUAAAAUCUUUGAGGCAUUCAUACUUUAAGUUUGACUUAACUGAGAUCACAGCUCUAAAAUGGCAGUACCAGAUUUUCUGACUGCAGAUAUUACUUGUUUUAAGUUUUCUCUUACACUCAAAGGCAAGUAUAUCCUGAAAUUUUUGAUUCUGCUCCAGUACUUAAUGUAUUAGUAAAUAGUGCACUGUUGGGUGGGAAAAACAUAAUAUAGAAAUCAAAUCUAAGAUGAAUAUAUAAAACAUAUUGAAAAAUAGUGAAAGUAAUUUAGCAAUUAUUAGAAUACUGUUAGAGGACAGAUCCGAUUUCAUUUUACUGCCACUGACUUAAAGCAUUGUCUCUAUUUUGCUGGAUGUAAUGGAGUUCUGGUUUUGAAUGUUUCAGACAUAAAAGGAAUUGGUAAAUUAUUCUUUAUAAUGUUUUUACACAAGCCAUGAGAUAAUAAAAAUACUUUCGGAUUCUAGCCAAUUUACCCUGUGAUGUAUCCUAAAUACCAUGAUUAUAAUUUGAUUACAUAUCUUCUGUGAAAAUUUAAAACUUUUUUUAAAUUUCAGCAUUUCAGAGAAAAGCUGCCUUCGUAUGGAAUGCAAAAGGAAUUGGUAAAUUUAAUUGAUAACCAUC
rnacentral:lncRNA from 10 species